rnacentral:rRNA from 1 species
GAUGAACGCUAGCGGCAGGCCUAAUACAUGCAAGUCGAACGAGAUUAAGAGGCUUGCUUCUUAUGAAAGUGGCGCACGGGUGCGUAACGCGUAUGCAACCUACCUUAAUCAGGGGGAUAGCCCGAAGAAAUUCGGAUUAAGACCGCAUAAAAACACAGGAUAGCAUUAUCCAAUGUUCAAAUAUUUAUAGGAUUAAGAUGGGCAUGCGUGUCAUUAGCUAGUUGGCGGGGUAACGGCCCACCAAGGCGACGAUGACUAGGGGAUCUGAGAGGAUGACCCCCCACACUGGUACUGAGACACGGACCAGACUCCUACGGGAGGCAGCAGUAAGGAAUAUUAGUCAAUGGAGGGAACUCUGAACCAGCCAUGCCGCGUGCAGGAAGACAGCCCUCUGGGUCGUAAACUGCUUUUAUUCGGGAAUAAACCUUUCUACGUGUAGGAAGCUGAAUGUACCGAAGGAAUAAGGAUCGGCUAACUCCGUG